rnacentral:rRNA from 1 species
GUGAUUAAUACCUUAUAAGUCGGUAGUCUCGCAUGAGAUAGCCGACAAAGAUUUAUCGGUAUGGGAUGGGCCCGCGUUUGAUUAGCUAGUUGGUGAGGUAACGGCUCACCAAGGCGACGAUCAGUAGCCGACCUGAGAGGGUGAUCGGCCACACUGGAACUGAGAAACGGUCCAGACUCCUACGGGAGGCAGCAGUGGGGAAUAUUGGGCAAUGGGCGAAAGCCUGACCCAGCAACGCCGCGUGAAGGAAGAAGGUUUUCGGAUUGUAAACUUCUGUCCUCAGGGAAGAAGAAAGUGACGGUACCUGAGGAGGAAGCCCCGGCUAACUACGUGCCAGCAGCCGCGGUAAUACGUAGGGGGCGAGCGUUGUCCGGAAUGACUGGGCGUAAAGGGCGCGUAGACGGCUGUCUAAGUCUGGAGUGAAAGUCCUGCUUUCAAGGUGGGAAUUGCUUUGGAGACUGGAUGGCUUGAGUGCGGAAGAGGUAAGUGGAAUUCCCAGUGUAGCGGUGAAAUGCGUAGAGAUUGGGAGGAACACCAGUGGCGAAGGCGACUUACUGGGCCGUAACUGACGUUGAUGCGCGAAAGCGUGGGGAGCGAACAGGAUUAGAUACCCUGGUAGUCCACGCGGUAAACGAUGAGUGCUAGGUGUAGCGGGUAUCGACCCCUGCUGUGCCGGAGUUAACACAAUAA